UCUAGCAGUACUGUCCUAAUACCCAAGGCUCCAACAAAUAAUUGUCCUGAAGAAAAGACAAUAACACUUGCUCCUCCUGUUUCACGAGUUGUGCCACCUCCUAAUAGUCAGGAUCAAGAAAUAAAUUCGGAUUCUGAAGAGGGUCAGUUAUCAUACAUAAAAUCUAGAGCUACAGGAUCCUCCACUACUUACCGUAGCUUGGCAGCUGGAAACAAAAGUGGGGAUGAGAAGAAGGGACAAUGAAAAAGACAAGAUGUGAUGAAACUGUAUAUUUUAAAACGCUGUAGCUGCUUUUUUGCUAUUAGUUAAUGCUUAGUUAGUGUGUGUAGUUAUAUAAUGCUGCUUUUGUUAUUAGAUCUAUAGUUACAGUAA